UACGUAGGGUGCAAGCGUUAAUCGGAAUUACUGGGCGUAAAGCGUGCGCAGGCGGUUUUGUAAGACAGAUGUGAAAUCCUCGGGCUUAACCUGAGAACUGCAUUUGUGACUGCAAAGCUGGAGUACGGCAGAGGGGGAUGGAAUUCCGCGUGUAGCAGUGAAAUGCGUAGAUAUGCGGAGGAACACCGAUGGCGAAGGCAAUCCCCUGGGCCUGUACUGACGCUCAUGCACGAAAGCGUGGGGAGCAAACAGG
rnacentral:rRNA from 1 species